UCGUACUCAUUUUUUAUUACAUUUAUGAACUUGGAAUACCUCAUUGCAACGGUAGUUCCAAGCAGUCUUAAUAUCUCCUCGCUUGUAUGAAAGUUUGAAAAUGACGUUAAUGUAGCUUGCAAUUCAAUAUCAAUAUUUUUUUUCCAAGUGUUAUUAAAGCUUGUGAGUAUUUUGUUAAUAUAUUCUAGAUUAACUUCCCUUAAGCAGAAUUUUGAAUCAACAACUUGCAUUAUUCCAGAAUAUGAAUUAUUCAAGCGAUAUUCAAUAUAUUUUUGUGUGUAUUCACGGAAUAAAUGCUGAAAAUUAUCUAAAGAAAUUCCGUUUUUUCCUCGUAACACUGAAAUUAUUGCGUCAGCAUUGUUAAUUAUAAAUAUACAACCUUCUUCAGGCCCAAUGUAAUUUUCAUUUUGCAAAAAUUCAUUUGAUGACAGCAACCAAUUGAUUAGGGAUGAUUGAACUCUGUCAAUUAGUUUCUUUAUUUGAUCGUUGUGACCAUCUGGUUCAUCUAUUAGUUUUGUUAAAACCGUUAAUAAUUCUGAAACUCUGCGAGUAAUAGGAUUUAGAUGCGGUCGUUUGUCUGAAAUGCAUAAUUUGAUAAAUUCACGGUUUGAGAGAGAAGACAAUGAAUAAAUCUGUAAAAUAAUUGAAGACUCCAAUGAAAUGUAAAUUGCUUUACUUUGCAUGCCGUAAUAUUCAAACAAAGAACUUGAAUCUGUUAUAGCAUUUACAAAGACUUUCAACUUUGAUUCAGUAAGACGCUUAAAUUUGAGCAUUAUGUUGUACAAUAUUGAUAGCCCGAUAGUAUCGUUUGUUUUCAAUAUUGAAAGUUGAAAUAAUUCUAAAGUCCUUAUCAAAUGAUCACCAAAAAUUCGAUGUAGAAUAUCCUUUAAUGCACUAUCAAAAAGUUGCCUAGUAAAUUCGAAGAUCGAUAUGAAUGCCUUAUAUAUCAUCUUCUGUGAUUUAAAAAAAAUUUCCUCUAUUUUAAAUACCUUUUUUGGCUUUGAAAAAAAUGAUUCCUCUACAGGCUCACCGAUCAACAAAUAAAAGUUGUUUAAAAUUUGUUCUCUUUCGAAUAGUACUGAGUGAUAUUUGUCAUAAUCCUUGGAAGUAAUU
rnacentral:antisense_RNA from 1 species